GACGAACGCUGGCGGCGUGCUUAACACAUGCAAGUCGAACGGAAAGGCCCUGCUUUUGUGGGGUGCUCGAGUGGCGAACGGGUGAGUAACACGUGAGUAACCUGCCCUUGACUUUGGGAUAACUUCAGGAAACUGGGGCUAAUACCGGAUAGGAGCUCCUGCUGCAUGGUGGGGGUUGGAAAGUUUCGGCGGUUGGGGAUGGACUCGCGGCUUAUCAGCUUGUUGGUGGGGUAGCGGCUUACCAAGGCUUUGACGGGUAGCCGGCCUGAGAGGGUGAUCGGCCACAUUGGGACUGAGAUACGGCCCAGACUCCUACGGGAGGCAGCAGUGGGGAAUAUUGCACAAUGGGCGGAAGCCUGAUGCAGCAACGCCGCGUGCGGGAUGACGGCCUUCGGGUUGUAAACCGCUUUCGCCUGUGACGAAGCGUGAGUGACGGUAAUGGGUAAAGAAGCACCGGCUAACUACGUG
rnacentral:rRNA from 1 species